rnacentral:rRNA from 1 species
GACGAACCGUGCGAACGUUGUUCGGAAUCACUGGGCUUAAAGGGCGCGUAGGCGGGCUGUCAAGUCAGGGGUGAAAUCUUUCGGCUCAACCGGAAAACUGCCUUUGAUACUGACAGCCUUGAGGAAGGUAGGGGCAUGUGGAACUUCCGGUGGAGCGGUGAAAUGCGUAGAUAUCGGAAGGAACACCGGUGGCGAAAGCGACGUGCUGGACCUUUUCUGACGCUGAGGCGCGAAAGCCAGGGGAGCAAACGGG